AUUGAACGCUGGCGGCAGGCCUAACACAUGCAAGUCGAACGGUAACAGGAAGCAGCUUGCUGCUUUGCUGACGAGUGGCGGACGGGUGAGUAAUGUCUGGGAAACUGCCUGAUGGAGGGGGAUAACUACUGGAAACGGUAGCUAAUACCGCAUAACGUCGCAAGACCAAAGAGGGGGACCUUCGGGCCUCUUGCCAUCGGAUGUGCCCAGAUGGGAUUAGCUAGUAGGUGGGGUAAAGGCUCACCUAGGCGACGAUCCCUAGCUGGUCUGAGAGGAUGACCAGCCACACUGGAACUGAGACACGGUCCAGACUCCUACGGGAGGCAGCAGUGGGGAAUAUUGCACAAUGGGCGCAAGCCUGAUGCAGCCAUGCCGCGUGUAUGAAGAAGGCCUUCGGGUUGUAAAGUACUUUCAGCGGGGAGGAAGGGAGUAAAGUUAAUACCUUG
rnacentral:rRNA from 1 species